UACGGAGGAUCCAAGCGUUAUCCGGAAUCAUUGGGUUUAAAGGGUCCGCAGGCGGUCAAUUAAGUCAGAGGUGAAAUCCCAUAGCUUAACUGUGGCACUGCCUUUGAUACUGUUAGUCUUGAGUCAUUUGGAAGUAGAUAGAAUGUGUAGUGUAGCGGUGAAAUGCAUAGAUAUCUGGAAGAACACCAAUGGCGAAGGCAGUCUACUACGAAUGUACUGACGCUGAUGGACGAAAGCGUGGGUAGCGAACAGG
rnacentral:rRNA from 1 species